rnacentral:lncRNA from 1 species
GUAAGAUAAAGCUUUUACUAGUUUAAAGGUGUGCACCACCACAACUUCUUCAACCUAUUAAAUGACAUCCACAGAACAUCCACAGCUAAUGUCAUUCUUGACAAUAAGAGACUGAGUCAUGAUCCCUCAAGAUCAGGGGCGAUACAGACAUUUCCAUUCUCUCUACUUCUCAGAAUUGUCUAGGCAGCAUAGCUAAAAAUACAAUAUAAACUAAGUGGAAUUUGCUGAAGCUUGGUGGUGCAUGCCCAUAAGCCCGGUACUUGGGAGGCAGGCGGAGCCUGAGUUUGAGGCUGCAUAAAUAUGCUGUGACCCUGUCUUUGGGAGAAGCAGAGGGAGCUGCUCAGUGGCACACGCCCUCACUCCUAGCACUGGGAGGCAGAGGAGCAGAUCGCUGGUGUGGAAGCCAGCUUAUGAUAACAGAGCGGGUUUCAGGACAGCCAGGGCUAGUCAGAGAAAUCUUCUCUGGGGGGAAAAAAAAAUCUUAACUACAAAAAUUUGAAGAAAAGCAAGCAAACCUUUUUAAAUUAAUGAAUUAAUUUGUUGUAGAGUUGUAGAAUGUACGAUCUAUAGAUAUAAAUCAAUCUUAUUUCUAUACAAUAGCAGUGAGCACUCUAAAAUUAAAAUUAGGGAAAUAUUCCAGAGCUACAUAUAAAGAUCCUGUUUCAAAAAAACAAAAAAAGAAUUAAAUAAUGAAAAGACAUUCCAUCAUCUUGGGAAAUUUAGCAUUGAUACACUGGCAACAGUCUCUAAACUGACCUACAGAUUCAGUGCAAUUCCUAUCAAAAUCCAUAUGUUUGUGCAAAACAUGUAGACCUGAUACUUGUGAAAAUAAAUGAAUGAGAUGAUUUAUCAACCUAAAACCUUUUACUGAUGCCAAGUUACUAAGGCACGUGUGGGUCAAUGCAAUAGAACUGAGACGAGAAGUAAGCCUUCACUUCAGCUGCAGUCAGCUUCUCAGUGAGGGUGUCAAGGCAAUGAAGACAGGGACAUCAGCAUUUUCUGAAAUGAUACAGACAACUAGAGUGAAUGUGAAAAUGAGUGAAAUUGAACCUCACACCAUGUGCACUGGUAACUCAGAUCAACAGGUAACGUUGUGAGCCCCUUAGAAUAAAUCACAGGUCCCAGUGGCUGUGACUAAAUUAAAAAAUACGUCUUUGCUAUGCCACUAAGAGGACAAGUAAUAAAGGGAAAAGUGACGGUUAAAUCUAGUCGAAAUUUAAUUUUUUCUGUAUGCUUGAGACAGUAUCGAGAGAGAGACAAGAGACCUGGGCAUGGUGGUACAUUCCUUAAAUCUCAGCAUGUAGUAGGCAGAGACCGGUGUAUGUCUGUUGAGUUCCAGGGCAGCCAGAGCUACGUGGAGAUAGCCUGUCUCAAAAACAUAAGAGAAAAACGGCAACAGGGCAGCCUGAAAGCUGGGGAAAAUAUGUCUGAAACAUCUGAAAAUGAUUUGAAAGUUUUACAUUG